GAUGAACGCUGGCGGCGUGCCUAAUACAUGCAAGUCGAGCGAAUGGAUUAAGAGCUUGCUCUUAUGAAGUUAGCGGCGGACGGGUGAGUAACACGUGGGUAACCUGCCCAUAAGACUGGGAUAACUCCGGGAAACCGGGGCUAAUACCGGAUAAUAUUUUGAACUGCAUGGUUCAAAAUUGAAAGGCGGCUUCGGCUGUCACUUAUGGAUGGACCCGCGUCGCAUUAGCUCGUUGGUGAGGUAACGGCUCACCAAGGCAACGAUGCGUAGCCGACCUGAGAGGGUGAUCGGCCCCACGGGGGCUGAGACACGGCCCAGACUCCUACGGGAGGCAGCAGUAGGGAAUCUUCCGCAAUGGACGAAAGUCUGACGGAGCAACGCCGCGUGAGUGAUGAAGGCUUUCGGGUCGUAAAACUCUGUUGUUAGGGAAGAACAAGUGCUAGUUGAAUAAGCUGGCACCCUGACGGUACCUAACCAGAAAGCCACGGCUAACUACGUGCCAGCAGCCGCGGUAA
rnacentral:rRNA from 1 species